GGAGGGUGCGAGCGUUGUCCGGAAUCACUGGGCGUAAAGGGCGCGUAGGUGGCUCGUUAAGUGGUCGGUGAAAUCCCGGGGCUCAACUCCGGGGCUGCCGGUCAGACUGGCGGGCUAGAGCACGGUAGGGGCAGAUGGAAUUCCCGGUGUAGCGGUGGAAUGCGUAGAUAUCGGGAAGAACACCAGUGGCGAAGGCGUUCUGCUGGGCCGUUGCUGACACUGAGGCGCGACAGCGUGGGGAGCAAACAGGAUUAGAUACCCUGGUAGUCCACGCCGUAAACGAUGGGCACUAGGCGUCGGGGGGAGCGACCCUCCCGGUGCCGUCGCUAACGCAGUAAGUACCCCGCCUGGGGAGUACGGCCGCAAGGCUG
rnacentral:rRNA from 1 species